UGGCCUACGGGGGGCAGCAGUGGGGAAUAUUGGGCAAUGGGCGAAAGCCUGACCCAGCAACGCCGCGUGAAGGAAGAAGGCUUUCGGGUUGUAAACUUCUUUUGUCAGGGACGAAGCAAGUGACGGUACCUGACGAAUAAGCCACGGCUAACUACGUGCCAGCAGCCGCGGUAAUACGUAGGUGGCAAGCGUUAUCCGGAUUUACUGGGUGUAAAGGGCGUGUAGGCGGGACUGCAAGUCAGAUGUGAAAACUCAGGGCUCAACCCUGAGCCUGCAUUUGAAACUGUAGUUCUUGAGUACUGGAG
rnacentral:rRNA from 1 species